rnacentral:lncRNA from 1 species
CAUUAAUGGUCUCUCUCUCUCUCUCUCUCUCUUUUUAAGGAAAAAUUUUAAAUAUCAUUUCACAUUUUCUCAUUUUAAUACUCUAUAGUUUAAAGUAUAACAAUUUAGUGUCCUGUGAUUUUAUUUUUAUUUUUUUAUUAUCGAUUCCACUAAUCUUUUUCGUUAAAUCAGUAACAAAGUUAAACUAAAAGAUACUAAAAUGAAUAUUCGAUAAACUUAGGUGGGGUAUCUGAAGUUUUUUGUAUACAAUUUAACGAAAUAUUAACAAAAAAGCAAACGAAACGAUAAAAAUGAAACCACAGAAUACUAACUUAAUACACUUUAAACCACAGGGUACUAAAGUGAGAAAGUGCGAAACCACAUGAGUGGUAUUUGAAGUUUACCCCUUUUUUUUUGUCCAUUGAAUUUUAUCACCAUUUAUUAAUUGAUUAAUUUGAUCGUAUUUAAUGUAAAUAUUAAAAACAUACAUAAUUUAUCUACACUGUUUUGAUCUAACCUUUCAAAAAUUUAAAUUCGCUAUCAAAUUUUUUAAUUUAUUUAAUUUAAAUCAGUCAACAGUGUCUUAACUCUUAAAAUUCAAGCUAAUAACUUAUUUUAAUGAAUUUAUAGAGGUUAGAACCUAGAUAGUAAAUUCGCGAAUUAUUCGCGAAUUAUUGAAAAUCCGAAUUAAACGGUCCGUUUACGAAUUUUUCCGAAAGAAAGAGAAUUAUUCGCGAAAUUUUGUGCCAGCCGAGUUAUUCGCGAAUAAUUCACGAAUUAUUCGCGAAUUAUUGCCGAAUUAUUGAAAAUAUGAAUAAAAAACUUAUAAUUUUAUUUUUAAAUAUAAAUUAUUUUAUAUUUUAUACCAAAUCAAUUUUUUAAGCCGAAUUUUUCAACGAAUUUAAAAAUUAGAAAAAAAAAUUUAUACGUAUUAUAUCCGUACCGAAUUUUUGCCGAAUCCGAAUUAACUAACUAUGGGUUAGAAUUGUAUGAGAGUAUACUAAUUAAACUUGUGAAUAAAGACAUAUUCAAAUUUUGGAGUCAAACAUUGUUGAUUGAGUCUAAUCAAAUAAAUUGAGAGGUUAGACCGUAAAACUAAAAUUUUGAAAGGUUGGAUAGCUGAUUCAAAAUAGUUCAUAGUCCAUAUAUAUAUAUAUAUAAAAGUGUUGUGUAUUUUUACCUAUUUAAUAUUGUUUACCCAUCUAUAACAACAAUAACUUUGUUAAUAUCA